rnacentral:rRNA from 1 species
UACAGAGGUCUCAAGCGUUGUUCGGAUUCAUUGGGCGUAAAGGGUGCGUAGGUGGCGCUGUAAGUCGGGUGUGAAAUUUCGGAGCUUAACUCCGAAACUGCAUUCGAUACUGCGGUGCUUGAGGACUGGAGAGGCGAGUGGAAUUCCCGGUGUAGCGGUGAAAUGCGCAGAUAUCGGGAGGAACACCAAUGGCGAAGGCAGCUCGCUGGGACGGUACUGACGCUG